CUAAAUCCCCAUUCGUCUUCCUAACCUGUCCGAGUCUUCUUCUCUUUUCCUUAAUCAGAAACCCUAAAUCAACCACAUACAGGUCCUUCUUUUUCCAUUCAAGCUAUUUGGAUUCAACCAUCGAAUUGAUAUGUAUUUUAAUCUCAAAAUGGCACUUAAAGUGAGGAUUCAAGUCUAACACACGCGGAACCUUUUGGUCCAAUGCAACGAUUGAAAACCUUCCAUGUUCAUGUCAGAUAUAAAAUAUUCCUCUCUGCUAUAGAAUACCUGCCAUUUUUUCCCGGGGAUCUUGUAGAUAGCGGUUUCAAAAAGGGAAGCUUUGAAGAAAUUAUUGAGAGAUCACGAGAAGUCAAAGUUGGAAAAAGCUGACGUGUCAUCCGACGUGGCAGAGCAAUGCCGGUUGCAGAGUCUUGAAAAAGCUAUGGUCAUUCAGUGGCUUUGCUUUACACCUCCCUCCACCAUUAAUGAUGCUACCAGAGUUGGCUCAAAACUGCUGAACCGAGAAUUGAUGCACAGCAAUGUACUGUUCCGGGAAUUUGGUUUAAUUUCUAUGUGGAGAGUUCCAACAAUGCCAAUUGGGACCCAUACGCUGCUUAGUUUACUUGCUGAGCCUUUGAAACAUCCAUCAGAAACUUCGAUUUCCACCGAGGAUCGUGAAACUUCUGAUAGUUUGAGAGAGUUUCAUGACUGGCGUGAUAUUGCACCUCAGAUUGUUUUGGCCGGGAAAAUUUUGGGUACAAAAUAUGGGUUAGGCGCGCUCCAUAUCCUGCUCCAAAUCCUAUUAUGACCCGACUAUAUUUAUACGCAGUUAUGUAAUUUGUUUUCCAAAACCCUAGAGAACCAUCUCCGUUUUCCUUCAUCUCCAUCUCCAUUCUGGUUUAAAGCAUCAAGCAUGAGGGUUUCACCGUCUUCUCCCUCUCUUCGCAUUGCCUCUCAAACAUCUUCAUCCAAGAUUAGAUCACCGAUGAUAGCAGAUUCUCUACAAACACAAAUCAGUUGUUGAUAAACAAUGAAUUUUAGGGAUAAUAAUAAAGAUGAAAGGUCCGAUAGAGAUCUUUGAAACCGUUUCUUCAUACCGGCAGUUGGUUGUUCGUUUCUUUUCAGUGUAUCUUUUGUUUUGAUGCUGAAGUUAAUAGAUUUGAUUAUGAUCUUAUAAAUUUUUGCAAUGUAUCAAGUCAUAUUGGUUCAGCACCUGUUUCUUCAAGGUUUUCAUUGAUCCCACUUCUUAACUGCAUUAGGCUGCUUUAUCAAGUCCACCUUUCUAAUGCCAAGAAAUCAUCUGCCACAACUGAAAUCAAACACAAGUUGGAUAAUGACAGCGGCAAGGACAUUUUUAAGUUGGGGAGAAAAGAUCUUCUUCCGAAAGUGAAGGGAACCAAAACAAAACAAUAAUUGGUGUUGUAUAUUGACCGAUGAGAGCGUGAAAAGAGAGACCGGAUUGAUGCAAACGUUGUCGUAUUGUUGCAGAGUACACCACUAUAGUGUUGCUAACAAUGGCAAACUUCAGUUUUACUAGGGGUUUAAUUUUGAUUAUUAAGACUGGGAGAUGAAGGUGAUUAUGCAUAUACCAUUACUGUGAGAUUCGCCGAUUAGCAAUGGAAGUUCGUUACCUGGUGUCGACAGGACAAAUCACUUCUUUGAAUGGAGAUUCAACUCAUAUUGAUGAUGACCAUGAGUUGAAGUAGGGUCUUCAACAAUUUUGUAAGGCCAACCCAUAUUCACUUAGGUCAUUGGGAGGCUGUCAUGAAAUUCGGUUGGUCGGUUUUGGGUUUUUCAGGAUUAGGUUUCGACAUUGACGAGAUAAUACAAGCAUGGCAUGAACUGUAUGAAGUGAAAAGAUGGCAAAGUGGCGUUCGUCUUUUCGAUUAGCGCCAUUGUUUAGAAGACGAGUUUUGGUUAUUGGUUCAAAGAAAAAAGUAUUGUGGAUGAAAUUUAAUAUAAGGGUGAACACAACAUACAUGUUUUGGAGAACAGUUAGAUGAAUAUAUCCGGGUCGCUAGCUUGGGAAGUGGGACUCAACAUACACAAACGUAUAUAACAUUUAUAAUAUGGUUUUUUUAUUUUUUUUUUAUUUUUAUUUUUAUUUUAUUUUUUUUAUAGAGGGAACUCAAUUUACUAAGAGAAAGGUUUUGGUAACUCGAAGGAUAUGCAUCUUCAAAAGGACUCGACUAUCUUUAAAUUGUAUAUCCACUCUAUCACUAAUUUAUGCAACAUCGGACUUUGUAUUUUAUUUUAUUUAUGCACUUGAUAUUUAUUUUAA